UGACAAUUUUGACCUCAGAUCAGGUAAGACUACCCGCUGAACUUAAGCAUAUCAAUAAGCGGAGGA
rnacentral:rRNA from 1 species